rnacentral:rRNA from 1 species
GUGGGGAAUUUUGGACAAUGGGGGCAACCCUGAUCCAGCAAUGCCGCGUGUGUGAAGAAGGCCUUCGGGUUGUAAAGCACUUUUGUCCGGGAAGAAAUCGCACCUGAUAAUACCGGGUGUGGAUGACGGUACCGGAAGAAUAAGGACCGGCUAACUACGUGCCAGCAGCCGCGGUAAUACGUAGGGUCCAAGCGUUAAUCGGAAUUACUGGGCGUAAAGCGUGCGCAGGCGGUUGUGCAAGCCCGAUGUGAAAUCCCCGGGCUUAACGUGGGAAUUGCAUUGGUGACUGAACGGCUAGAGUGUGUCAGAGGGGGAUAGAAUUCCACGUGUAGCAGUGAAAUGCGUAGAGAUGUGGAGGAAUACCGAUGGCGAAGGCAGCCCCCUGGGAUAACACUGACGCUCAUGCACGAAAGCGUGGGGAGCAAACAGGAUUAGAUACCCCGGUAGUCC